CAAAGCAGGGCGGGGGGGGGGGGCAGAUCCAGACCAGCGGAGACCCCAGCAAGCUGGUUCACUGUGGACCAACUCUGCGCCUGUGCGGGCAUCCCCAGUGCUUCUAGAAUGGGGGCGCCCAAGGAAGAAGGCAGGCUGUGAGAAUCUGGGUACCACCAAGGCGGUCUCAAGGAGAAGCGCGGGGGCUGGGGAACGGGAGGAUUAAAGCCAGCAUCCACUCUGGGAAAGGAGCGGGCACCGAAGAAGGAGGGAAAAAAAAAAAAUCUCCUUGACGCUGUCACCUCCAGGGACCUAAGGUGGCCUCUUGCUCACCUUGGAGAAUAACAAUCUCUGAUGUCUGGCAAUAACAGAAAUGCUUCCAGUGGUCUUCUUUCGUCCAUCCUGACAAUGACCAGGGAAGGUCACCAGCACCUCUGGUGGGCGAGAGAUGUGAUCACUUAUUCCGUGUCCCAACCAGGGACCCGUAAGGUAAGACACAGCAAGAUACUCCUUGGAUGUGCUAAGAAAGUGAUCUUCCAUGCCCACUGCCCGCACCUUCAGCCCAGAGCAGAGUUCUUGGGUCCUUGCCCUUGAGUUCUUGCCCUUGAGACUAGCUCAGAUCUCUCCUUUGCUUUCUUUCUUUUUGUUUUUGAAGGAAUUUAGUCCCUGAUCUCCUCACCGGUUAUCACUUUCCAUUUAACAACAAGCCUUUAUUUAACACCAACUGUGUGCCCCGCACUGUGUUCACUCCUGGAGACUGUCCUUGGGCUGCUCACAGCCUGGCAAGGAACAGACUCUAAACACAUCUGGGAGAGUGGCUGCCACCAGUCAGCCUAUGGUGCCAGGUGUUCAUGCUUCCUCUUGCUCAGAACUACUUCUUUGAGCUGGAGUUCCUGUUGUGGCUCAGUGGGUUAAGAACCUGACCAGUAUCCAUGAGGUUGCGGGUUUGAUCCCUGGCCUCGUUCAGUGGGUUAAGGAGCCGGUGUUGCUGUGGCUGUGGUGUAGGAUGGCAGCUGCAGCUCUGAUUCAACUCCCUACCCUGGAAACAUCCAGAUGCCUCAGGUAUGGCCCUAAAAAAUAAUAAUAACUCUUUGAGUGGG
rnacentral:lncRNA from 1 species